GUCAAUUUACAGCAAUUAAUUAACAUCCAAAUCCAAGUGCGUGCACUGUGGAACUCUGCCAAGACGUAUAUUUUGUAUUGGCAUGACAUUUGGGUAUUGUUCUAAGACCACUUCGCUUGAUAUGUAUUGAUUAUUAUGAUGCCGCAGUUUAAAAAGACACGUAUAUUGAUCGAUCCUUAUGAGAUGAGAAAUUAAAGUAGAGAUUUUGAUAUCUCUAAAAUUUAACACACUUUUCAAACCAAAUGAUAUUUGUCUAUUAUCUUUCAAGUUUCAUCAUCCAACUGAACCGAACCAUAUAUUUGAUUUUAGAACGCGGUAAUCCAUACCAAAGGUAAUAAUAGUCAGAGGCGGCAUAGCCGUGAUGGUGAAAUUUUUGUCAUAAAAAAUUUGGGAUAAAAUUUGGUAGACCAAAAAUUAAUUUUUGGGUUAAAUUAUAAGCAUUCUUUCUUUAAUCUCGUUAAAUUCUUAUUUUGUUACAAUUACAUAUAAUGAUAAAUAUAAAUAAAAUUAAUACUACUUAUAUUUUUACUCUCUC
rnacentral:lncRNA from 1 species